UUGACCUCAGAUCAGGUAGGAAUACCCGCUGAACUUAAGCAUAUCAAUAAGCGGAGGAAAAGAAACCAACAGGGAUUGCCCUAGUAACGGCGAGUGAAGCGGCAACAGCUCAAAUUUGAAAUCUGGCGCAAGCCCGAGUUGUAAUUUGUAGAGGAUGUUUCUGGCGAAGUGCCUUCCGAGUUCCCUGGAACGGGACGCCAUAGAGGGUGAGAGCCCCGUACGGUUGGAUGCCUAGCCUCUGUGAAACUCCUUCGACGAGUCGAGUAGUUUGGGAAUGCUGCUCUAAAUGGGAGGUAUACGUCUUCUAAAGCUAAAUACCGGCCAGAGACCGAUAGCGCACAAGUAGAGUGAUCGAAAGAUGAAAAGCACUUUGAAAAGAGGGUUAAAUAGUACGUGAAAUUGUUGAAAGGGAAGCGUUUAUGACCAGACUUGGGCAGGUUGAUCAUCCGUGGUUCUCCGCGGUGCACUCUGCCUGCCCAGGCCAGCAUCAGUUCGCUUCGGGGGAUAAAGGCUUUGGGAAUGUGGCUCCUCCGGGAGUGUUAUAGCCCAUUGUGUAAUACCCUGAAGCGGACUGAGGUUCGCGCUCUGCAAGG
rnacentral:rRNA from 1 species